AAAAUUUCAAGCUCAGCUUGGUGUUGGGUGUUUGUCCCGCCCUGGUGCGCGGACUCGCCUCAAAAGCAUUGGCAGCCGGUACGUUGGCUUUGAGCGCAGCAGAUUUGCGACUCGGUGCCUGGCGGACUGGUUAACCAGAAGCCCCCUUUAAA
rnacentral:misc_RNA from 1 species